rnacentral:misc_RNA from 1 species
UACGUAGGGUGCAAGCGUUAUCCGGAAUCAUUGGGCGUAAAGCGUUCGUAGGCGGCGACGUAAGUUUGUGGUUAAAUCCAGUUGCUCAACAAUUGGCUCGCCACAAAAACUACGUUGCUAGAGAAUGGCAGAGGCAACUGGAAUUCCGCAUGUAGGGGUAAAAUCCGUUGAUAUGCGGAGGAACACCAAAAGCGAAGGCAGGUUGCUGGGCCAUUUCUGACGCUGAGGAACGAAAGCGUGGGGAGCAAACAGG